rnacentral:rRNA from 1 species
AUUGAACGCUGGCGGCAUGCCUAACACAUGCAAGUCGAACGAGUGGCGGACGGGUGAGUAAUAUCUGGGAAACUGCCUGAUAGUGGGGGAUAACUACUGGAAACAUUAGCUAAUACCGCAUACCAUCCGAGCUGCCCAGAUGGGAUUAGCUUGUUGGUGGGGUAACGGCCCACCAAGGCGACGAUCCCUAGCUGGUCUGAGAGGAUGAUCAGCCACACUGGAACUGAGACACGGCCCAGACUCCUACGGGAGGCAGCAGUGGGGAAUAUUGGACAAUGGGCGCAAGCCUGAUGCAGCCAUGCCGCGUGUAUGAAGAAGGCCUUCGGGUUGUAAAGGACUUUCAGCAGGGAGGCGGUACCUAAAGAAGAAGCACCGGCUAACUACGUGCCAGCAGCCGCGGUAAUAC